AUCCUGAGGCCAGAGGUACAAGGCCCCAGUAAGAGCCACUGGUGGUUCUGGUUAUGGAGAAGCUGGUAAACCGUUUACCCUGGUUAAAGGGUGCGAUCCUGACAGAUAUCACAUGUGAGGACAUGGACGGGGUAUCAGAAGGUGUACACACUGUAUUCUUCAAUGAGUAUUUGUCAAUGAUUUUCGUUUUUUGGGGGGGAACGUUUGAACUGAAAGGAUUGGUCAGAUAUUU